GGGGGUAUAGUUCAAUGGCUAGAACGAUGGUCUCCAAAACCAUUAAUCGAGGUUCGAGUCCUCGUACCCCCGCCA
rnacentral:tRNA from 1 species